rnacentral:rRNA from 1 species
UACGGGGGGGGUAAGCGUUGUUCGGAAUUACUGGGCGUAAAGCGCACGUAGGCGGGUUGUUAAGUCAGGGGUGAAAUCCUGGAGCUCAACUCCAGAACUGCCUUUGAUACUGGCAACCUAGAGACUGGAAGAGGUUAGUGGAAUUCCCAGUGUAGAGGUGAAAUUCGUAGAUAUUGGGAAGAACACCAGUGGCGAAGGCGGCUAACUGGUCCAGCACUGACGCUGAGGUGCGAAAGCGUGGGGAGCAAACAGG